rnacentral:rRNA from 1 species
UACAGAGGGUGCGAGCGUUACUCGGAAUUACUGGGCGUAAAGCGUGCGUAGACGGUUAUUUAAGUCGGAUGUGAAAGCCCCGGGCUCAACCUGGGAAUUGCAUUCGAGACUGAAUAGCUAGGGUACGGUAGAGGGAAGUGGAAUUUCCGUUGUAGCGGUGAAAUGCGUAGAUAUCGGAAGGAACAUCAGUGGCGAAGGCGGCUCACUGGCCCGAUACUGACGCUGAGGUGCGAAAGCGUGGGGAGCAAACAGG